GUCAGUGUGUUAAGGUGGGCUGAGUGUUUAGUGAGAGGAGACGACAGUAUCUCUGGUCUCUCAUAUCAUCUCUGUGCUUCCAGUCAGUGUGUUAAGGUGGGCUGAGUGUUUAGUGAGAGGAGACGACAGUAUCUCUGGUCUCUCAUAUCAUCUCUGUGCUUCCAGUCAGUGUGUUAAGGUGGGCUAAGUGUUUAGUGAGAGACAGUUCCUGUGUAAAUAACAUACAAGCUCCUGUGUUACUACACAGUGGGGAUGUACCCCUCAAAUGGCACCCUAUUCCCUAUAAUAGUGCACUACUUUUGACCAAAGCCACAUACAGUAGGGCACCAUAUAUACCUCCCUUCCUCUUCUCCCUCCCUCUCCUUCUUCUACUUUCUCCCUCUCUCUCCCCCUUCUCCCUCUCUCUCCCCCUUCUCCCUCUCUCUCCCUCCCUCUCCUUCUUCUACUUUCUCCCUCUCUCUCCCCCUUCUCCCUCUCUCUCCCUCUUCUCCCUCUCUCUCCCUCCCUCUCCUUCUUCUACUUUCUCCCUCUCUCUCCCCCUUCUCCCUCUCUCUCCCUCUUCUCCCUCUCUCUCCCUCCCUCUCCUUCUUCUACUUUCUCCCUCUCUCUCCCUCUUCUCCCUCUCUCUCCCUCCCUCUCCUUCUUCUACUUUCUCCCUCUCUCUCCCCCUUCUCCCUCUCUCUCCCUCUCUCUCCCUCUCUCUCCCUCCCUCUCCUUCUUCUACUCCCCCUUCCCCUUCUUCCCCCUUUCUUCCUCUCUUCCACUCCCCUCUCUCCCCC
rnacentral:lncRNA from 1 species